GUGUUCGUCUCGGCAGCACAUAUACUAAAAUUGGAACGAUACAGAGAAGAUUAUCAUGGCCCCUGCACAAGGACAAUACGCAAAUUUGUGAAGCAUUCCAUUUUUUU